GACAAAGGGUGGGGGUCUCGCGAGGGUGAGCUAACACCAAAACCCCGUCCUCAGUUCGGAUUGCGGGCUGCAACUCGCCUGCAUGAAGCAGGAAUCGCUAGUAAUCGCCGGUCAGCCGUCAUAUAUUCCAUAUAUCACAUUAGAUAGAUAUCAUAUUCAUG
rnacentral:ncRNA from 1 species